CGGCCGCAAGGUUAUAACUCAUAGGUAUUGACGGUGGCCCGCACAAGCAUCGGAGCGUGUGGUUUAAUUCGAUGAUACGCGAAGAACCUUACCUGGGCUUGACAUGGUGGUAGUAGUGAAGCGUAAGCGGAACGACCCUUCGGGGAGCCAUCACAGGUGCUGCAUGGCUGUCGUCAGCUCGUGUCGUGAGAUGUUGGGUUAAGUCCCGCAACGAGCGCAACCCUCGUCGCUAGUUAUAUGUGUCUAGUGAGACUGCCGGUAUCAAACCGGAGGAAGGUGGGGAUGACGUCAAGUCAGCAUGGUCUUUAUGUCCAGGGCUACACACACGCUACAAUGGCCGGUACAAUGGGUUGCCAUACCGCGAGGUGGAGCUAAUCCUCAAAGCCGGUCUCAGUUCGGAUUGCAGUCUGCAACUCGACUGCAUGAAGGUGGAGUUGCUAGUAACCGCGCGUCAGCAAUAGUCCGGUGAUGCGUUCCCGGGCCUUGUACACACCGCCCGUCACAUCAUGGGAGUCGUCAACACCUGAAGUCGGUGACCAAACCGAAAGGUAG
rnacentral:rRNA from 1 species